CCUACGGGUGGCAGCAGUGGGGAAUAUUGCACAAUGGGCGCAAGUCUGAUGCAGCCAUGCCGCGUGUGUGAAGAAGGCCUUCGGGUUGUAAAGCACUUUCAGCGGGGAGGAAGGCGGUGAGGUUAAUAACCUCAUCGAUUGACGUUACCCGCAGAAGAAGCACCGGCUAACUCCGUGCCAGCAGCCGCGGUAAUACGGAGGGUGCAAGCGUUAAUCGGAAUUACUGGGCGUAAAGCGCACGCAGGCGGUCUGUCAAGUCGGAUGUGAAAUCCCCGGGCUCAACCUGGGAACUGCAUUCGAAACUGGCAGGCUAGAGUCUUGUAGAGGGGGGUAGAAUUCCAGGUGUAGCGGUGAAAUGCGUAGAGAUCUGGAGGAAUACCGGUGGCGAAGGCGGCCCCCUGGACAAAGACUGACGCUCAGGUGCGAAAGCGUGGGGAGCAAACAGGAUUAGAUACCCCAGUAGUC
rnacentral:rRNA from 1 species